rnacentral:sRNA from 1 species
GCGACAAAUCCCUCCCGCUCCUGCGGGAA